UACAGAGGUCUCGAGCGUUAGGCGGAAUCACUGGGCUUAAAGCGUGUGUAGGCGGGUCGUUAAGUGCCUUGUGAAAUCCCAUGGCUCAACCAUGGAACUGCUGGGCAUACUGGCGAUCUUGUGCCACCUAGGGGCGAGCGGAACAGAUGGUGGAGCGGUGAAAUGCGAGAUAUCAUGAGGAACACCAAUGGUGAAAGCAGCUCGCU
rnacentral:rRNA from 1 species